rnacentral:rRNA from 1 species
GUGGGGAAUCUUCCACAAUGGACGAAAGUCUGAUGGAGCAACGCCGCGUGAGUGAAGAAGGGUUUCGGCUCGUAAAGCUCUGUUGUCGGGGACGAAUGUGCAGUAUUUGAAUAAAGUAGUGCAAUGACGGUACCUGACGAGGAAGCCACGGCUAACUACGUGCCAGCAGCCGCGGUAAUACGUAGGUGGCAAGCGUUGUCCGGAAUUAUUGGGCGUAAAGGGAGCGCAGGCGGGAAGGUAAGUCGGUCUUAAAAGUGCGGGGCUCAACCCCGUGAUGGGAUCGAAACUAUCUUUCUUGAGUGCAGGAGAGGAAAGUGGAAUUCCUAGUGUAGCGGUGAAAUGCGUAGAUAUUAGGAGGAACACCAGUGGCGAAGGCGACUUUCUGGACUGUAACUGACGCUGAGGCUCGAAAGCCAGGGGAGCGAACGGGAUUAGAUACCCUUGUAGUCC